rnacentral:lncRNA from 1 species
GCUGAGAUGAUGACUGUCCGUGUUUCUCAAAGGUCAGAAUCCAUGUGUCUCAAUUUCCUACCAAAAAAUUUUAUGGGCUGAAAUUGAGAGAGUAGAAAUUGGUCUUUCACUUCAUUCCACUCAGAGACUGUUUACCCCGUUCCAUUCAUGGUGAGCAAAGCAGUCCCCCUGGUUCCCUGACACUAGCCCAACAGUGUCCCCGUGGCUGUGACCUCCGAAUUCCAUGGCCCUCAUUGAAGUCUGAUCCACUGAGCCCGCUGCUGGACAACCCCUCUCUCCACCUCCAGCCUGGAGGCCCCUCUGCCACUGCCAGUGUUCAUGCCUUCUUCUCACCACGCUGCAGUGCUGCCUUUCUCCAAACACGCCGACUUCCCACCUCGGCCAUGGCUCUGGCCCAUGGGAAGGAGCCCCUGCUCAGACCUGUCCUCCAGCUUGGCUCAAGUGCUCCAUUUCAUGACACAUCUCUGAAGCCUGGAGAGGGAAUUUCUUUGGUCCCUUCUACUAGUGAUCAUACACAAGUAUAAACCAAGAACGAAACCGGAGUCCUUUGGCAUGGGUCACGGAUGACUAACCUAACCAAGUAUGAGAGUGUCUUAACUGACUUUGUGGCUGGUGAGAUUCUUCUCUGAACCAUUUUCAGAGCAAGGAGUAUAAUCAGAACCAAAAGGACCCUCAAAUGUGAGAGAGAACUUCAUUUAAAAUAUCAAAAAGCCUUUGAGGUACUUCAUCUCACCACCCCCACCUCACCCUCUCCCCUCCCCUACUCACAUAGGUCUUUCCUCGCAUGUCUCCCCCGCCACCAAUAUUUAGUAUAGUGUCUGAUGCCAAGUGGCGGAUAGAUAAAUGUUUAAUAG